CAAUCCCCUGAUGAUUAAAAUAGAUUAAUUAAAUGAGCUGCAAUGCUGCCAUCUAGUGGCUUUCACCUUCAUAUACAGCUGUUUUUCCCCCAAAACUAUUUUUACACACAUCAUUUGGCGAAACCCAAACAUUGCAAUAUCAGGUCUUCAUUAUCGGAGGAAAAACCGAAGAAAAAAUUCUUACAUAGAAUAUUACAUAAUGAUGCUAAUAUUGGGCGGAUAACAUCGGUCCUUACUUUAUACUGUAUGUAACACAGGUUGGGCACAUUUAGGUUUUGUCAACGUGUAGAGAAGUUAGACGUGGAGUUCUACACUUGGUCUCUUUAUUUAAUUCACUGUCUGCUCUCUCGCGCUGUAGUUGCUGUACUUCGCCAGCAGUUGUGCAAAAUGUCGUCAGACGCACAAGGGAAGUUUUUGCUGACGCUCUGAACACACCCUCUGAAUUUUAUACCUUUCAUAUGAGUUUGACAAAGAGUGAGUUUUAAUAUAUGAGAAAACCUUUUCUUUAGAAAGAAAAAAAAACAUUUCAAAAAGUUCUUGUCAAGGUUUGUAAAGUACAAAACAUUUGGGUAAAAAUGUAAAGAUGUGUAAAACACUACGGCCAGUGUGCAGUUGAGCUGCUGCAUUUGCUUUUCGCUGAUUGGUUACUGUAAUAGAAAUGGAGGGAAAAAAAUAUUUUCUUCAUCUGUUGAAGGUUCCUUUUUUUUAGUUUUUUAGUUUUUAUCGCUGUUUCAAACAGUGUUCCGACUGGAACUGUUUUCAUCGAAGCACAAACUCAACAACUCUGCUGCUCAGACGCAAAUAAUCCUGGAUUCAGGACCCAGCACCGCUGCGUUCACCGCACACUUGAGUAUCGCAGGUCACAUGACCACACUGUGCUGGACGACCACCAAUGGCAGCUACUUUCAUAGUUUAGGGUGGAGGGUUUGAAAACUCUUAUAGACACAUAUAGACUGUACAUAAGAAUCGGACAAAGCCGUCGUUUCUUUUUUUUUUUUUUUUACGAAGUUUAUGGUUUUUUAACCAAUCCAACCAGUCUAGACUGGUGUUCAGUGGAAGUGGGCUGCAUGCUAACAGGUCACCAGCCCAUUAAUUGGACAUAUGUAAAGACAAACAAACAUCAAAUCUGUAUCUAAACACAUGGUUACUCUUGAGCAGUGGUUCUUAACCUUAGGGCUGCGGCCCAAAUUUGGCCUGUCAACGCCACCUAGAGGGACGCAAAAAACUUAAAUCAUUAAUUGUAGAAAGGAUGUUUUUUCAUACUGUGUUAGAAAAAUCAUGUCGGCUGCUCUUCUCUCCACGGUUCACCACCGCAGAUAACAAAUGCAGUCGAUAUUUCUGGUUUGAAGUCCAGAAGAUAAGAGCUACGAUUAAGGAGAAAAGCAAAGAAGCUCAGACGCGAGAAAAAAAACCAGUUUUUAAAAUUCAGCUCAAGAACCAAGCCAUAGGUGGACGUCAAAGUCUACAUUUACUCAAACGACCACCGAGGGUAAAUACUGUACUGGUGAUGAUGCAACGCAUGACUGACAGCUGGACUGUCCAAUAGGAGCCUUGGUGUCUGUGGUUUAAGAUGUCACAGUGUUGCUGCUCAAAAAAAACAAACAACUUUGACCGAUGACAAUGCAGUUAAAACGUUAAACACCGACACGUGACGAUGGUUUGUUUGGUCUUUUUAAAUGUGUCGUGUCAUCUGUGCAGCUUGCAGAGCCCGCCUUUAAUCUAAUCUAGAUUCUGAAUCAAACUAAAGUUUGCGAUGAAGCCAUUUCCUGGAAACAGUCUGCUUUAACCAGCAUGCCAUGUUUGAAUGACAGACUACUUCAAAAUAAAUACUGUAUGAAGUAAAACACUGUUUGUUCUGUGUGACUCAUAUUUCUUCCAAAACAUGAGGAAUAGUCUGGAUUAUGUUGGAAUUACACGACGAAGACAGAGUAGAGCAGAUUAGGUUUUACUGUUAUCAUAGUAAUCCUAAUUGGAUUAGAUUAUUUUCAGCCCAAUUCAGCUAAAUUGGAUCAUUUUCCGUGAUUCAUCCGACAAUCUCGCACGGUCCACUAAUGUGCCACGGGACACAGGUUGGGCAUCACUGUCCUACGGGAAUAAUGAGUGAAUCGUCAGCUCAUUGUUAGAGAAAUAAAACACUUUUAUUUACAGUCAUAAAUCACUCUCUCGUCGCUCUGGAGCACAAACAGUUCUGGUAUAACUUAACAACAGACGAGUCAAAGGCUACUGGAGGACUGGCACUAAACUGAGAAACCCGAAACCCACCGGGGUCUUCACCCUUCCUCAGGCACCUGCAGGAGUAACGUCAACACUUCGGUCCCUUUUUCAACACCUCCGUCCAGGAGCGUUCACGUCUGUCAGGCGUCAGUGUUACGCAAACAUCGCUUCAGUAAAAACAGUUCAGUUAAUUUUAGUCAUGCAUAAAAAAAACAUAAAAUAAAA